rnacentral:lncRNA from 1 species
CGCGCAGUUUUUAUGAAAGAAAUUCAACCCCUUUAAUAUGGUAAAGUGUUAAAAUGGACGAGAUUAACCUAUUAACUGAUAUGUGCAAACGCCAAACGAUGAAGCAGAGGGUGUGUUAGUGCUGAGAAAUUGGAAAUUUUGUCAUGAAGUUGAAAGUUUUGUUUGCAGUUGUCUUCUACUUCGUUAAUGACUUGGUUUUAAUGUCAUUAAUGAUUUUGUCUUCCAACUAAUUUGAUUUGAGUGCUACUUAGGAGGUCUAUGGAGACGAAGCGCACAUCUGGAGUAUUAAAUAUAAGCAUGGUUUCGUUGAUGAGUUCUGAUAACUUGUAGAAGAUAUCGAACCAAAAAAUAAGCACCAUGAAGGCAAUAUAAUGACAUAAUAAAAACGACGAAGGCAGAAGGUUUUCCUUAAUACUCUUUUUACUGUCACUUAAAAA